CAUGCAAGUCGUACGAGAAAGCCUUCGGGCAAGUAGAGUGGCGAACGGGUGAGUAACACGUGAGCAACCUGCCUUUGGAUUCGGGAUAACCCCUCGAAAGGGGGGCUAAUACCGGCUAAGACCACAGAGUCGAAUGGCUCAGAGGUAAAAGAUGGCCUCUUCAUGAAAGCUAUCGUCCAAGAUGGGCUCGCGGUCCAUUAGCUUGUUGGUGGGGUAAUGGCCCACCAAGGCUGCGAUGGAUAGCCGACCUGAGAGGGUGAUCGGCCACACUGGGACUGAGAUACGGCCCAGACUCCUACGGGAGGCAGCAGUGGGGAAUUUUGCGCAAUGGGGGAAACCCUGACGCAGCGACGCCGCGUGGAGGAUGAAGGCCCUUGGGUUGUAAACUCCUGUCAGGAAGGACGAACGGCAGGGUAGUUAAUACCUACUUUGUUUGACGGUACUUCCAGAGGAAGCUCCGGCUAACUCCGUGCCAGCAGCCGCGGUAAGACGGAGGGAGCAAGCGUUGCUCGGAAUCACUGGGCGUAAAGGGCGUGUAGGCGGGAUGGUAAGUCGGAUGUGAAAGCCCCGGGCUCAACUCGGGAAGUGCAUUCGAUACUGCCGUUCUUGAGUGUGGUAGAGGAGAGCGGAAUUCCUGGUGUAGCGGUGAAAUGCGUAGAUAUCAGGAAGAACACCUGUGGCGAAGGCGGCUCUCUGGACCAAUACUGACG
rnacentral:rRNA from 1 species